UCUUGCUAUGUUGCCCAGGCUGGUUGCUCAGUGCACCCUUGAAUGCAGCAUCCCGUGCACUUUGAUCCAUGUACUCUGGUCAGCCACACACUCACAAUACACCCAAUUAAAUACACGAAAAGCUCCUGCAUAUUGUUACUAAUAAAAGAAAUGCAAUUUAAUAAUAAUAUACCAAUCUUCACCCACCUUGGAAAAGUUCAACAAAGCAAGAAAACUGGCAACAUUACUGGAAUUGUAUUAACAGGACUCAGGAGGCAACUUGAAGACGCUUCUACUAGAAUGCUUUCGGCAUUAUCAAGGAUAAUAAUUGACAUGGACUGAAACACAUCAUAUGCUAAAAUCUGUGAGUUCAAAAUGGCAUCAAACAAACAGAAAAACAAUGACAGCCAACAACGAGAAAAAAAUAAAUGUUAUUUUAGGAGGAUGUCUGAGAACCAACUUUGUAGUUUAAAACUAGUUUUUGUUUUUUUUAAAGAAAAGGCAUUUUCCUGCUUAUACUGUAGAUCAAAGUAAAUAAAUAGUUGAUGAGAGGAAAUUACUUUUUCUAGAAGCAUACCACUAAUAAAUGAAGAGGACACGAUGGAUUUAGAAUGUCACCAUUUUAUCAAACCUAAUGAAAUAACAAAUCUAGGAAAUGAUGGUGAGUACCUGCUCAUAACCAGACACGGUGCACCUCCUAAUGGAAGUUCACAUUGCCCUCUGCCUAUGAACUGUUCUUGCCAAAAAUCCCAGCUGGGUUGGCCAGUACUUCUGAUGGCUCAGCAUUCUCACAAACAUGGCCUUUGCCGGGGCUCUGAGGUUCUCACUUGAUGUUUUGUGAUAAACUCCUAACUGAUCCGCCAGCAUCUCACAGCCCUCCAGCCUCCUCACCUCAAAUCAUGUAAAACGUGUCUGUCUGCAGCUCCCUGCUGCUCUAACUGGUCAGGCCCUGCUGUGGGUUGAAUUGUGCCCUCCCCAAGAGACACUUUCAAAUCCUAAGCCCUGGUACCUAUGAAUGUGACCUCAUUAGGAAUAGCAUCUUUGUAGCUAUAAUCAAGUUGGGAUGAGCUCAUAAUUGAUUAGGGUGGACCUUCAUCAAUGACUGGUGUCUUUAUAAGAAGGAAAUUUAGACACGGAAACACAGAAGGAAGAUGGCUGUGUGCGGAUGAAGGCAGACAUUGGAACGAUGCAUCUACGAGCAAAGAAAUGAUAGAGAUUGCUGGCAAGCACCAGAAGUGAGAGGAGCUACCAUCCAGCUCAUCUGCAGAGGAUCCGUCCCUCACACUGUAUGUCAGCUACACCGAGUCAAUCACAGUUCCUCAAGGGAGCCAGGCUCUUGCAUCCUUCUGACCUUUGUACAUGUUGCUCCCUUCACCAAUAAUCACUGUCAUCUUCUCCUGCCACUCAGAUGCACCCCAGUCUUUGAAAUCUUAGUUUCCUCCUGGACAGAAUUAAAGUUUUUAUGGGACCCCAAAGAACUUGUGCCCACCUCUUCCUUUAUGUUUUCCAAGCAGCAUUUUAGUAGAUUCCCACACCAGACAUGGGCUCUGCCUCAACAGGGAGAACAUCUCAUUCUUUCCACAAUCCCAGUGCCCCACAGAGUAAUGAGCAUCUUAAUAUGAAUUAAUAUUAAUAAUAAUGUUAAGCAGCUAAUGGAAUUGAGCAAUUCCUAAAUUCCAAGUACUGUUCUAAGCCUUUUGCAUGUAUUGACUCACUCCUCAUAAUUCUGAAUCAUUAUUCCCACCUUAUAUAUGAGAAAACAGAGGCACUAAAGGUUAAGUGAUUUUCCCAGCAUCACUCGCAGUAAAUGGUGGAGGUGUGAUUCGAGGCCGCUCUAGACCCACAGGUCAUGCUUUUAACCCCUGCUCUAUGGCUCUCCAGAGGUUACCAGAUGGAAACCCCAGAGUUGGAAGCACGGUUUGAGAAUGUAGUUUUAUGCACUAUACUUGAAGAGAAAAUAAUGGCUCCAUAAAAUCAUGGGAAGAGAUGAGUGGGGUGGCUGUUCUACAGAGUGGUUCAAUACACCUCUGUGUUCAUCUUCCUUAGAAACCUUAUAUAUUGUAUCGUGUUCGUUGAAAACUGAUGAUUUGAACUAUGGCAUAACCUUGAACUGAAAAGUCUUUGUUCUUAUAUAAUUAUAUCCUUCUAACUUGGAUCACAACUGCAUUUUAUAAUCCUAAUAGAUAACCUAUAAGACAUGA